UGUAGCAUGGCUUAGUGGAAAGAGCAUUGGGUUCAGAGUAAGAGGACCUGGGUUCAAAUCCCAGUGCGCAG
rnacentral:tRNA from 1 species